rnacentral:rRNA from 1 species
GACGAACGCUGGCGGCGUGCCUAAUACAUGCAAGUAGAACGCUGAAGGAGGAGCUUGCUCUUCUGGAUGAGUUGCGAACGGGUGAGUAACGCGUAGGUAACCUGCCUGGUAGCGGGGGAUAACUAUUGGAAACGAUAGCUAAUACCGCAUAACAGUAGAUGUUGCAUGACAUUUGCUUAAAAGGUGCAAUUGCACCACUACCAGAUGGACCUGCGUUGUAUUUGCUAGUGGGUGGGGUAACGGCUCACCAAGGCGACGAUACAUAGCAGACCUGAGAGGGUGAUCGGCCAGACUGGGAGUGAGACACGGCCCAGACUCCUAGGGGAGGCAGCAGUAGUGAAUCUUCAGCAAUGGACGGAAGUCUGACCGAGCAACGCCGCGGGAGUGAAGAAGGUUUUCGGAUCGUAAAGCUCUGUUGUAAGAGAAGAACGAGUGUGAGAGUGGAAAGUUCACACUGUGACGGUAUCUUACCAGAAAGGGACGGCUAACUACGUG